rnacentral:rRNA from 1 species
UACAGAGGUCCCAAGCGUUGUUCGGAUUCAUUGGGCGUAAAGGGUGCGUAGGCGGCGCGGUAAGUCGGGUGUGAAAUCUCGGAGCUUAACUCCGAAACUGCAUUCGAUACUGCCGUGCUUGAGGACUGGAGAGGAGACUGGAAUUUACGGUGUAGCGGUGAAAUGCGUAGAUAUCGUAAGGAAGACCAGUGGCGGAAGGCGGGUCUCUGGACAGUUCCUGACGCUGGAGGCACGAAGGCCAGGGGAGCAAACGGG